CGCCGCCAGCCGCGCUUCCGCUUCCGCCUUGGCGCGUAAGGCAGCUCGUUCCCGGGCUAGGUGCUCCGAAACCUAAGUGUACGACAAGGCGACGAGGCCCGCAGGCGGAAUUCCCAUGCAAGGAGUGAUUUUACGUCCUGACUACCCAUCCUGGCCAACUUCUUGGCCCCGGGGGUAGGUCCUUUGCAGAGUGCCGUACUACCCCGGAAUGUACGAUAUCAACCCAGGGGCCCCCCAUCCUGCUGAUGGGCGUGUACGUGAGUUUCAUUGAGCUCUAUUCUAAGGAGGUCUCCUCGCCUCCUUCCUGCACCUCCCUUUUCCCCUCCUCCCCUUCUUCCCCGCACUACGCGCGCAUACAUACGUACACACAUACACACGCACUCUCUCUCACUCUCUCUCCCGUACCUACCUGCUGUGUGAGGUUGUUGACUUGUGCCAGGGCAUCCGCCAGGGCCCCCUGGAGCGCCGAAUUUCGUCCUGCCGCCUCCACAUGCAAGGCCCUCAGAGCCGCCCGCACCUCCCGCAGAGCCCCCUCCCUGGAGUCCAGGACCUGGCGCGCGGCAGCCAGCUCCGACUCCGCCUCGCCCAGCUGGGCCUGCGGGAGUGGGGGGAGGGCGGAAGGGAGCGGGUCGGAUAGGGGGGCCUCGUCAGCAGCACAUACACACAGCACGCAUACGGCACAGCAACACGUGGCGCCGUACACCACCAG
rnacentral:lncRNA from 1 species